GAUGAAGAACGUAGCGAAAUGCGAUAAGUAAUGUGAAUUGCAGAAUUCCGUGAGUCAUCGAAUCUUUGAACGCACAUUGCGCCCUUUGGCAUUCCGAAGGGCAUGCCUGUUCGAGCGUCAUUUAUCAACCCUCAAGCCCGGCUUGCGGUUGGGUCCCGCCGUGGGCGACCACGGCGGACCCGAAAGGUAAUGGCGGUGCCCGUGGGGCCCUGGACGCAGCGAGCUUCUCGGCACGCGUCCCGGCGGUCCCCGGCGCCGUCUCCACCAAUCCACCACGCAGAUUGACCUCGGAUCAGGUAGGGAUACCCGCUGAACUUAAGCAUAUCAAUAAGCGGAGGA
rnacentral:misc_RNA from 1 species